rnacentral:rRNA from 1 species
ACUAACAAGGAUUCCCCUAGUAACUGCGAGUGAAGCGGGAAGAGCUCAAAUUUGAAAUCUGGCGGUCCCAGCCGUCCGAGUUGUAACCUGAAGGAGCGUUUUUUUUCCGCGCCGGACCGUGUACAAGUCUCCUGGAACGGAGCGUCGUAGAGGGUGAGAAUCCCGUCCAUGACACGGACGCCCGGUGCUUUGUGAUACGCUCCCGAAGAGUCGCGUUGUUUGGGAAUGCAGCGCAAAAUGGGUGGUAAAUUCCAUCUAAAGCUAAAUAUUGGCGAGAGACCGAUAGCGAACAAGUACCGUGAGGGAAAGAUGAAAAGCACUUUGGAAAGAGAGUUAAACAGUACGUGAAAUUGUUGAAAGGGAAACGCUUGAAGUCAGUCGCGUCCGGUGGAACUCAGCCCUGCUUCGGCCUGGUGUACUUUCCUCUGGACGGGUCAACAUCAAUUUCAGCCGGUGGACAAGGGCGGGGGGAACGUAGCGCCGCUUCGGCGACGUGUUAUAGCCCCUCGCCGCAUGCACCGGCUGGGAUUGAGGACCGCAGCACGCCCUUGUGGCCGGGGUUCGCCCACGUAACGUGCUUAGGAUGUUGGCAUAAUGGCUUUAAGCGACCCGUCU